CAAAAACGAUCUGCCCAGGUAUCCCAAUAUUGUGGACAUUGAACAUGAAGUUGAGAUGGAACAGGAUAUGGAACCCUUAAUAUCUGCUAACUGGAAACUUGGAAGGAGGGUUAUGGAACUGGGGGUGAUAUGACAGAUGCUCUAAAAUGUCCAUGCCAUUUCAGCAGCUCUUUCAUGCUGUGGAUAUCCUAACUUAUGGAUCAUCAGCUAUCAUUAAGAGAGCGGGAACAUCAUGAUCAUAUCAGCAAUGAGACGAGAAAAGUUUUCAACUUUUUCCACAAAGAACAAUCAGUAAACAGGCAGACAAAAUUACAGGUCUAAAAAUAAAUGGAAUGAAGGUGUACAAUAACAAGUGAAUAUAGACGUUUCUCUUGUAACAAUCAGAAUUAGACUAAAGUUUUGAGUAACGACAAGAAAAGUGUUUAUAGUCACUGGAUACACUAUCAUUUCCUAUGAUGUCCCAGUAUUACCGAAUGCAGUUUAAAACUGGCAUUGUCAACAAAUUCGAUAUGGAGUUAUUGAUGGAAGAUGUGAAUUGAAAACUGUGUGUGACUCGUUAUAAAAAGUAAAGUGGAUUCUAUCUCAGAAUGCAGACUUUUUCAGUUGAAAGACCCCAGAGUUUUAUAUGAAAAGAGUCAUAUAUCUUCAGUCUGUUUGAAAUGUCCAUGACAUCAGUUGUGGACACAUUAUUGGUGUUAUCAGAAUUUGCCAUGUCUGUAGCAUCAUUUUUAGAUACAGUGUCAGUGUUUGGUACUAAAUGUAAUAAGUUUUCAUUAAUUUAAAUUUGGUCAAAUUACAAAUUCUUUUUCUUUUUUUUUUUAAAUUGUAGA